UAUUAGAUCCUUUCCAAGUCUAUCUUAAGCAUCACUUUUACUACCGUAAAACUCACUGGUCAUUCUUUCGUCAUUAUACGCUUUUUAACAGAUGCGUUGCUGCAACUUAUUCACAUGGGUCCAAUUUCAUGUAUAUUUUCCGCUGGUUAAUGAUUUCAGUGAUUAAUGAAUGCCCGAUUUUGAUUUUGCAUCAAGUCCAAGUCAUAUCCUUGCAUGGACAUGUUUUAGAGCUGGUGUAAUAUCUGUACGAAAACCAUUGCUUCAAGGCAAGUGAAAGAAUAUAGUUUUGUAAAGCUUCCUCAUAUACAGAUAGAAUGUGUGUUUGAGAAGUAACCCAAAAGUUGCAGCAGGAAUAAUGGCUGGUCUCAUUGGGCCAGCCAGGUUUCCUUAGAUAUGAAAUGAUAGACGUUUUUUUGUAUUAAUCCAAAAUUCAACAAGUAUUUCACUGAUGCGACGAGAUGGAGUACUGUUCAUUACCUCAGAUUUUGGUGCCUCUACCCUACGCUGUUGUUGUAAAUCAAGACCUGCCUCAUGUCUGUACGAUUGUUCAAACUUCAGAGCUUUCAGUCGCAAGUUCCAACUCAGUUCUCUUCUCUCGGAUUUGAUACGCGGGACAUCGUUUUGCAUCCAUCUGCAAAACUUUAUGUCCUACUUCCCGAUUGAUGCCAUUGUAUAAGAAAGCAGUACUAGUAGAGUGUCUCUGCUUCUUCGGGUCAUAUAUGCUGGGACAAAAAGCAAAUAAGGAUGGAGCUAAAAAACUGCUCAAAAAAAGAUGGAGUGGAGUGAAAUGUUUUCGCUCUUUCUAAUACUAAUAUAUAUAUUACGGCACUUGGUAAGUUUUCAAUCUGCUGAUUAUGCUAGUGUGGAUUCCAAUGAAGCCCAGAUACAGCAGUGCAGGAAACAAAAGCAGGGAAUUGAAGAUGGAAGAGUAAAAAGAGGAGGAGGAGGAGGAGGAGAUGACAUGGAAAAAUAAAUGAAUUGGGGGAAGUGAGGGAAGGAAAGGGGUGGUCAGGGAUCAGUCGUCACUCGACAAAUAGCCUGACAGCCUGGCUUUUGCUUUGGUUGUAUGGGAUGGCAUGGGUGAAGCAGGCCAGACCCUCUCUCUCUUUCUCUCAUUGAGUCAUCAAUUCCUGAACCUGAGGCAUCAUAUGAUAGCAUUAAUGAAUGCCUUCAAUGAUCUGAGCCCUUUUCUCUUUCUUGACUUCUCUCUCUAGACAUCACAGUAGAGUCAAUAUCAGCAUAGUGUCGCAUUCCAGGCCAUGGAUUCUUGGAUUUUCUACUCUCUUUUGUUUUACCCUUGGCUCUGGUUUGCUGGAAAGUGGAAAGUUACA